UGAUGAGUCCUGCCCAGUUCCUGUUUCUGCUAAUGCUCUGGAUCCAGGAAACCAGAGGAGAUGUUGUGAUGACCCACACACCACCAUCUUUGUCGGUUGCCAUUGGACAAUCAGUCUCCAUCUCUUGCAAGUCAAGUCAGAGCCUCGUAUAUAGUGAUGGAAAGACAUAUUUGCAUUGGUUAUUACAGAGUCCUGGCCAAUCUCCGAAGCUCCUAAUCUAUCAGGUGUCUAAUCUGGGCUCUGGAGUCCCUGACAGGUUCAGUGGCACUGGAUCACAGAAAGAUUUUACACUUAAAAUCAGCAGAGUGGAGGCUGAGGAUUUGGGAGUUUAUUACUGUGUGCAAGCUACGCAUUUUCCUCCCACAGUGAUACAGACCCUAACAAAAACUCCCGUGCCUGGGGCAGCCCACCUGCCAAUGUGAUGCUUGACUGGAGAAGAGAAGAGCACUGUGUGUCUGUGCGAGAGGGAUGUGUGGGAGACUUGAAUAACUUCAGCUGAGAGUUCUAGCUAGACUCAUCCUGCUGGAUGAGUGGUUUGACUAGAUCUCAACUGACACCAAUUUCCAGACCUU